rnacentral:lncRNA from 1 species
GAGCAUAAUCCGCGAAAAUUUUAGUAAUGUAAAUAGUGACAUAACAAAUGUUACUAAAAGGCUUUUAGUAACGCAAAAAUGUCAUUAAAAGUAUAUCUUUUACAACAUGUAAGGGUGCGUCGCUAAAACCUUUAGCUACGCGGAUACAAUGACAGUUCUAGCGAUGAAUGGCUUUUCGUCGCUAAUACCUUUACCGACGUGUUUUGGGUUUUAGUGACGUUUUUCGUGUGUCACUAAGAAUGAUAUUUCUUGUAGUGAGGCCCAUCUUUGAUAGGGUCAAAGUUCGAUUUAUUUUGCUAUGAGUCUCUUAUUCCUCCUCAAGAUCCCCUACAACUCAUCUUCUUACUUCAAGUCUUUCCCUAGCUUGGAACAGUUCUAUUCUUUCUAACCUCACAUUGAUUAAAGUCUCCAAGUGUCGCAUGGCUUUCUCGUCAAGUUCUUGUAUCAGUCCUGUGAAUGCACUUCCAUUGCUACAAAACAAAAACAAGUGAAAGUAAUGUGAACCUGAAAAAUCACUUUCUCACGUGUUUCUGUCGGCAGGUGAUGUUUCACUCAUCUCUAGAAAAAGCUCUAAAAAAGGAGAAUGAACCAGAGUUUUUGCAAUCAAAGAUUCAACAACAAAACAAGCAGGAAUAUAAUGACGGUAACGUGUCAAACUCAAGCAAAAAAAUAGUUACAUUCAAUAAAACGAAAGAAAACUAGAAAUCAAAAUCCUAAUUUUCAAGAUUCAACAAACUAGAUAAGAAACAACAAAAAUCAUAAAAUUUAAAUUCAAAGAAUUAUGCAAGAUGAACAAAAAGAAAGAAAAGAAAAGAAAAGAAAAGAAAAAGAUAAACAAGCAGACAAAACAAUGAUAAAAAGAAUAAGAAAAUUAAGAAUAAAAGCUAGCUACACUAAUUAAGCAAGCAAAAGCAGUUUUAUAACAAUUCACUAAUUGACGUAUCUGCUUGACGUGCUUGCUUGUGCUUCCAAUUUUUUUCUUCUCAAAUUCACGUUUCUUCAACAAACACUUUGUCUUUUUUCCUAAGUUUCACGAUUCCUUCAUGCCUAAAGUUAUCUUUCUUUGAUUCACGAUUUUCAACUUCAAGUAAAUUUAGGGAAUUCAACUUCACUUUUUUUCCAAUCCACUCAAGAAAACAAUUAAACAUAAACUCAACCUAAAUCUAAAGCCUAGACUCUGAUAUCAAUUAUAUGAAAACCCAAAGUUUUAAAAAUUAGAAACCCAAUAUCAAAUUUUAAGACCCCAGUCAAAUUGACAAUGAUCUAAGAAAAUGAAUUAGACUUGGAUUACUCUUUGAUCGAAAACUAAGAGAUCAGGAGAACUAGUUUCUCACUCCACGUUUGAACACUCUACAAUCAAAAUGAUCCUUGGCAUGCAACCAGAAUCAAGAAUGGCAAAAGGAUAGUGAUAAGGCUUUGUCAUUUACCGUAGAAUUUUUAUUGAUUAAAAUCCCUAAAUCUCAAGAAACAUAAAAACUAAUGUGUUGUGUUUGUUUCCCUACUUUAAACCAAAUCUACUGCACUGGAAGGAACAUAAAUAAUUCAUUCUACCCCUCACUCAAAUGAUCUAAAAUCAAAAUAAACAUGUAUGGUCCAAUAAUAAAGAAACAAAAAACAAAAAGUAUGAUUUUGCAGGUCAACUGGUUUCAUAAAUUACAAAGCUCAACUAGUUUCAUUCUCUAGUGUCAACUAAUUGCGAUUAAUUCUCUAGCAUCAACUAAUUGCGAUUAUAAAGCUUCUGACCAACUGUUGACUCGAACCUCCUUAAUAGAUUUCACUUUUUAUUGAAUUCUAUUCAAUGUUAAAACGUCUAAUUCACGUACCAUCGCACUGUUACUCAAAUUUCAUAGCAGUCACCUGGGAAGCCAUCAAAGAGCCUAGAGACAUACCAAGGGUUAGCUCGACAGGUUAAUUGGAAGAGGAUGGAGGCUCACGUACGGAAGCUUGUGGUUGAAUGUUACAUUUUUCAGCAAGCUAUAGGUAUUUAACUUGAACUCCAGCCAACUUACUUCAAGCUCUUUCCAUUUUGGAUUCGUAUUUGGGAAGAUAGUAGCAUGGAUUCUAUUGAAAGAUUGCUAAUAUCAAAUGGAUUGACACAAUUUCGGUUGUUGUCGAGUUAUCCAAGCAUGCUCAUUUCACUCCACUCAAAGAUCCUUUUGUAGCUAAAUCCAUAGCAAAAAUUUCUGUAUGAGAAACCAUGCAAUUACCUGUUGCACCCACGAUAUUAUUUCAAACCGUGGAUCAUUCAUUAGCAUGUUUUGGG